AUGGCCAAGGGAAAGGGGAAGGCUGAUGGUGAUGGGUGCUCUCGUGAGAGGACUAUUUCCUGGGAUGAUGAUCAGACCAUGUUUAUGUUGGAUUGGUGCAUUGAAUACAUGAAGGAACAAUAUGCGGGAUUUAGGUUCAGAAAACAUCAUCUUAUGAAGUGUGCUGAUGCUUUAAACAUAAAAUUUGCUAUGGGGGUGACACUUGCUCAAGUUGAUCGUCACUUCAGGCACUACAAAGAAAUUUUGAAGUACAUUGCCGCCGCAAUUAGCAAGAGUGGCAAUGUUUUUGAUGAUAUUAGAUGUGUGGUAACUAUCUCCGAGUCUGAAAAGUCUUGCCUCAAUGAUAGAGCAAGGCGCUUUCUUUCUAAGCCCAUCAAGUUCUACUAUGAGAUGCAGGAGCUAUUCACAGGCACUAGUACUGAUGGUUCUUUGGCCAUGGACCAACAUACAUGCACAAUUGAUUCUGAUGACUCGGAUAAUGAUGAAGGGUUGUAUGACCUCAACUGCUAUCCAGAGUAUGAGGGCCCUCUUGAGGAGGAUUCUGACACUUUGCCAACAACACAUUGUCCUAAAAGACCUCCGGUACCUGUAGGUGGUGAUAAUUCAUCAUCUAGCACUAGCCGAGUUGGUAAGAAGCACCCAAGAGGUAGCAGGUCACCUACUAAGAAGCCACCAAAAACCAAGAGUCAUUUCGUUGAGUCCGCUGAAGAAAUCAACUCUACAUUGAGGUCACUCCAGCAAUCCCUUGCUGCCACUCCUCCUCCAGUGCCCCAAGUUGUUGAUCCUUAUGCUAGUUUAUGGAAGAGGUUGGAGGAACUCCCAAUUACCACAGAUCAAAGAAUUGCUGUUGGUGUGCACUUAUCUUGCAAGGACAAUGAAGGUUUGUGUGGUUGGUUAUGCAGUGCAAGUGACAAAACUUUUGAAACUUGGGUUUGCAAGUUCUUUGCUGACAAAGAUCAUGUUUAUAGCAACCUGUGA
rnacentral:rRNA from 1 species